GAAGAAACGAAAAGACAAUUCUGAAGAAUGUCGAGCGCAAACAAGUUUUACCAUAUGGGGAAAAACUUUGUGGACAAAGAUAAAUGAAGCAACAACAUGGCAACAAAAGUUGCUCCUAAUGCCACAUUAUGAUGAUGUCGAUUGGUCGAUGUCUGCUCCGCUUCAUCCAAAAAAGGACACUCCCCUUUCACCUGGAUUACCAUUUCCUAGGAUACCUUCGAUAAAAGAAAACAAUGGAGUUAUGGAUCCGAACUUGUUGGAAAUGUUGAAGUCUUUUUAAGUGGCGUAUAACACUACUACCGAGGAGCAAAGAAAUGUUCCCACCUAAGAAUGACUUGAAUUUGCUUAAAGACAUGAGAUUUUCGAUACAAAUAAUAUUAUAAUAGGUGGAAAACUUCCAAAUUUUAUUUUUUUGGUUCUAUAAUUCAAUUGAUGGUC